rnacentral:rRNA from 1 species
CUCAGUAACACGUAGCUAAUCUAACCUCAAGUCGCAGAUAUCCUCGGGAAACUGAGGGUAAUAAGCGAUAUGAAAUGUUUUCUGGAAUGAGAUAUUUCUGAAGUCUACUUAAGGAAGAGGCUGCGGCUGAUUAGGUAGUUGGCGAGGUAAAUGCUCACCAAGCCAUUGAUCAGUAAGGGCCCUUAACGGGGAAACCCUGAGAAUGAGUCUGAGAUACUACUCAUAGCCCUACGGGGUGCAGCAGUUAGGGAUUUUUUGCAAUGCGCGAAAGCGUGACAAAGCGAGCCAGAGUGUUUUUCAAUUUUGAAAAACUUUUGCCAGCUGCAAAAAGGCUGGCGAAUAAGGACUGGGCAAGACCGGUGCCAGCCGCCGCGGUAAUCCCGGCAGUCCGAGUCGCAGCCACAAUUAUUUGGUCUAAAACAUCCGUAGCUUGCUUUGUAAGUCUAUUGUGAAAUUCUGCCUCUUAAGGGCAGAGCUUGCAAUAGAUACUGCAUAGCUAGAGACUGGUGGACGUGAGGAGUACAUGCAAGGUAGUGGUAAAAUACGUUAAUCUUGUAUGGACUAACAACAGCGAAGGCACCUCACGAUGACAGUUCUGACAGUGAGGGAUGAAGGCUAGGGGCGCAAAUUGGAUUAGAUACCCAAGUAGUCCUAGCAGUAAACACUGCGCACUAAACCUUGUGACCUCCUCGAGAGGUUGCAGGGCUGUAGCGAAGGCGAAGAGUGCGCUACCUGGGAAGUAUAGCCGCAA